rnacentral:rRNA from 1 species
UACGAAGGGGGCUAGCGUUGCUCGGAAUCACUGGGCGUAAAGCGCACGUAGGCGGCUUUCUAAGUCAGGGGUGAAAUCCUGGAGCUCAACUCCAGAACUGCCUUUGAUACUGGAGAGCUAGAGUCCGGAAGAGGUGAGUGGAACUGCGAGUGUAGAGGUGAGAUUCGUAGAUAUUCGCAAGAACACCAGUGGCGAAGGCGGCUCACUGGUCCGGUACUGACGCUGAGGUGCGAAAGCGUGGGGAGCAAACAGG